rnacentral:rRNA from 1 species
UGGCUCCUACGGGGCGCAGCAGUCGGGAAUAUUGCGCAAUGGAGGAAACUCUGACGCAGUGACGCCGCGUAUAGGAAGAAGGUUUUCGGUUUGUAAACUAUUGUCGUUCGGGAAGAUAAAAGACUGUACCUAAGGAGGAAGCCCCGGCUAACUAUGUGCCAGCAGCCGCGGUAAUACAUAGGGGGCAAGCGUUAUCCGGAAUUAUUGGGUGUAAAGGGUGCGUAGACGGAAGAACAAGUUGGUUGU